UGCCAGCAGCCGCGGUAAUACGGAGGGUGAAAGCGUUGUUCGGAAUCAUUGGGCGUAAAGAGCGCGUAGGCGGCAAGGUAUGUCUGAUGUGAAAGUCCGGGGCUUAACUCCGGAAGUGCAUUGGAAACUGCUUUGCUUGAGUCCCGGAGGGGAUGGCGGAAUUCCUGGUGUAGAGGUGAAAUUCGUAGAUAUCAGGAGGAACACCUGUGGCGAAGGCGGCCAUCUGGACGGUGACUGACGCUGAGGCGCGAAAGCAUGGGGAGCAAACAGGAUUAGAUA
rnacentral:rRNA from 1 species